rnacentral:rRNA from 1 species
GUGGGGAAUAUUGCACAAUGGGGGAAACCCUGAUGCAGCCAUGCCGCGUGUGUGAAGAAGGCCUUCGGGUUGUAAAGCACUUUCAGCGAGGAGGAAAGGUCAGUAGCUAAUAUCUGCCAGCUGUGACGUUACUCGCAGAAGAAGCACCGGCUAACUCCGUGCCAGCAGCCGCGGUAAUACGGAGGGUGCAAGCGUUAAUCGGACUUACUGGGCGUACAGCGCACGCAGGCGGUUGGAUAAGUUAGAUGUGGAAGCCCCGGGCUCAACCUGGGAAUUGCAUUUAAAACUGUGCAGCUAGAGUCUUGUAGAGGGGGGUAGAAUUCCAGGUGUAGCGGUGAAAUGCGUAGAGAUCUGGAGGAAUACCGGUGGCGAAGGCGGCCCCCUGGACAAAGACUGACGCUCAGGUGCGAAAGCGUGGGGAGCAAACAGGAUUAGAAACCCGGGUAGUCC